CUUGAAAAUACACAAUCACGCUCUCUCCCUCCUCUCCCUCCUCUCCCUCCUCUCCCUCUCCCUCUCCCUCUCCCUCUCCCUCUCCCGUCUCCCUCCUCUCCCUCCUCUCCCUCCUCUCCCUCCUCUCCCUCCUCUCCCUCUCUUUCCACGGUCUCCCUCUGAUGCAGAGCUGAAGCUGGACUGUACUGCUGCCAUCUCCGCUCACUGCAACCCCCCUGCCUGGUUCUCCUGCCUCAGCCUGCCGAGUGCCUGCGACUGCAGGCGCGCGCCACCACGCCUGACUGGUUUUCGUAUUUUUUUGGUGGAGACGGGGUUUCGCUGUGUUGGCCGGGCUGGUCUCCAGCUCCUAACCACAAGUGAUCCGCCAGCCUCGGCUUCCCGAGGUGCCAGGAUUGCAGACAGAGUGUCGUUCACUCAGUGCUCAAUGGUGCCCAGGCUGGAGUGCAGUGGCGUGAUCUUGGCUCACUACAACCUCCACCUCCCAGCCGCCUGCCUUGGCCUCCCAAAGUGCCGAGAUUGCAGCCUCUGCCCGGCCGCCACCCUAUCUGGGAAGUGAGGAGCGUCUCUGCCUGGCCACCAUCCCAUCUAGGAAGUGAGGAGCGUCUCUGCCUGGCCGCCCAUCGUCUGAGAUGUGGGGAGCGCCUCUGCCCUGCUGCCCCGUCUGGGAUGUGAGGAGCGUCUCUGCCAGGCCGCCCCGUCUGAGAAGUGAGGAGCCCCUCCGCCCGGCAGCCACCCCGUCUGGGAAGUGAGGAGCGUCUCCGCCUGGCAGCCACCCUGUCCGGGAGGGAGCCAUAGUGAUCAGCUUGUAACAUCCACUUUGAAAAUUUCCAAGGCCAACAUCAUCUCAGUCAUGAAGUAUGGUACUUUGGGGAAUCUAUUGGAUAUUUGUUUAUGUACUAGAGUGAACCUGGAACUGCUUAUUCCUUUGCUUCCUUAAAAAUGUAUUUUCUAAAGUCAGCUGAUUAGCAAAAAAAAGAAAUAAAAUUUAUUGUCUUUUAAUUUUCAUCAAAGUAAUUGUAUACAUAGUAAAAAUAAGGUAGUGCUGAGGAGUUUAUACUGAAAAACAACAGCUGUCUGCCACACUUCCCAGUCCCACUUUCCAGAGGAAAACCGCCUCCCUUUUUUGAUAAAAAAAAUUACAUAUUUUUGAGACGGGUUUUACUCUGUUGCCUAGGCUGGAGUGCAGUAGUGUGACCAUGGCUCACUAUAGCCUUGACCUUCCAAGCUCAGUGGAUCCUUCCACCUCGGCCCCUUGGGUAGCUGGGACUACAGGCAUGUGCCCCCGUGCCUGGCUAAUUUUUUCAUUUUUUGUAGAGACAGGGUCUCACUAUGUUGCCCAGGCUGGUCUCGAACUCCUGGGCUCAAGCGAUCCUCCCACUUCUGCCUCCCAAAGUGCUGGGAUUAUAGGUAUGAGCCACCGUGCCUGACCAAGAUUAAAAUUUUUAAUCACUGAUUUUUAUCCCUUUAUUCCUUUAAACUGCCUCCUGCAAAGUUACAACUGAAAGUAAUUUGGUGUGUAUCUUUCAAGACUUUAUUUCUAUGUAUUGUACUUAUUCUCUAUAAUAAAAACAAGGAUUUAGCUACCCUCUCCCAGUUUUUGAUAGCUAUUAUUAUAGUUUUAUUCUUGGUUGCUUUUAUACCUUUAAAUAAAACACUUAAACCUCUAGUUUUUGUCCCAUCAGCCAUAUAUAAUACCUCUUGACUCCCAGGCUAUAUUUAUAUAAUCAUGAUUAUUUAUUGGAUACUUAGUAUGGCGACAGGCACUGUUCUAAGUGCUCAGUGAACAAAACAGAGCUCUCAGGCUCAUUGGCACUUACAUGGUAGUUGGGGGUAGGGGUGUUCAGAUACAGAAAUUAUAUAGUAGACAUUGAUGGGGUGUUCAGAUACAGAAAUUAUAUAGUAGACAUUGAUACAUUCAAAAUUAAAAAAAGUAAGACAGGAAAAGAUAGUUCAGGAAUCUGGAAAGUGGGAAUAAUGAUUUUAAAUCGGAUGGUCAGAUUUAACUUCAUUGAGAGAUGAUGUUUGAGCAGAC
rnacentral:lncRNA from 10 species